rnacentral:rRNA from 1 species
CCGCCCUACGGGACGCAGCAGUGGGGAAUAUUGGGCAAUGGGCGCAAGCCUGACCCAGCAACGCCGCGUGAAGGAAGAAGGCUUUCGGGUUGUAAACUUCUUUUCUUGGGGACGAAGAAAGUGACGGUACCCAAGGAAUAAGCCACGGCUAACUACGUGCCAGCAGCCGCGGUAAUACGUAGGUGGCAAGCGUUAUCCGGAUUUAUUGGGUGUAAAGGGCGUGUAGGCGGGAUUGCAAGUCAGAUGUGAACACCCCGGGCUCAACCUGUGGCCUGCAUGUGCAACUGUAGUUCU